UGCUGCGGUAGCUGGGAUUGUAUGCUGCUGGAGUGAACCCUUUACAGUGCUGCGGUAGCUGGGAUUGUAUGCUGCUGGAGUGAACCCUUUACAGUGCUGCGGUAGCUGGGAUUGUAUGCUGCUGGAGUGAACCCUUUACAGUGCUGCGGUAGCUGGGAUUGUAUGCUGCUGGAGUGAACCCUUUACAGUGCUGCGGUAGCUGGGAUUGUAUGCUGCUGGAGUGAACCCUUUAAGCCCUUCUGUGUUGUUUUUCUUGGGUGCCUUGUGACCGUGACGCAUCAUCUAUAGAAUAUUGGUUUCAACUCUGGUUCUGAAACUCUAUCGUUUAUUAUAAAGGUUGUCUGUUUCCUCUGUCUGCUCCACAGAACACUAUGCUGUGAGUGAGCUGGUGAAAGCCUCCAAAGACGGACAGGAUAUAGACGGCGAGGUACUCACCUAUCUGGAGCUGGCUCAGUUCCAUAAUGCUAACCAGUUAGCAGCUUGGUGCCUACAUCACAUCUGCACUCACUACAACAAUGUCUGUGCCAACUAUCGCAAAGAGAUCAAGGCCAAAUCUGCAGAGAACCAGGAAUACUUUGAGAAGCACCGCUGGCCCCCGGUGUGGUACCUGAAGGAGGAGGACCACUACCAGCGGGUGAGGAAGGAGAGGGAGAAGGAGGACGUGGUUCUCAACAAACACCACAGCAGACGACGUUGGUGCUUCUGGAGCACCUCCCCUGCCGUGGCCUGAGAGGAGGUCUGAGGAGGGUCAGCCCCAAACCGCCCAGGGAAUCUGCCACCUGCCCCGUGCUCCAGCUUCUAACCCUGCACCCCGCAAAGAGGUCCCACCUGCCCCGUGCUCCAGCUUCUAACCCUGCUCCCCGCAAAGAGGUCCCAACAACACACGCUGUCCCAACAACACACGCUGUCCCAACAACACACGCUGUCCCAACAACACACGCU